rnacentral:rRNA from 1 species
AUAUCAAUAAGCGGAGGAAAAGAAACUAACAAGGAUUCCCCUAGUAACUGCGAGUGAAGCGGGAAAAGCUCAAAUUUAAAAUCUGGCAGUCUUUGGCUGUCCGAGUUGUAAUCUAGAGAAGUGCUAUCCGCGCUGGACCGUGUACAAGUCUCCUGGAAUGGAGCGUCAUAGAGGGUGAGAAUCCCGUCUUUGACACGGACUGCCAGGGCUUUGUGAUGUGCUCUCAAAGAGUCGAGUUGUUUGGGAAUGCAGCUCAAAAUGGGUGGUGAACUCCAUCUAAAGCUAAAUAUUGGCGAGAGACCGAUAGCGAACAAGUACCGUGAGGGAAAGAUGAAAAGCACUUUGGAAAGAGAGUGAAACAGUACGUGAAAUUGUUGAAAGGGAAACGCUUGAAGUCAGUCGCGUCGACCGAGACUCAGCCUUGCCUCGGCUUGGUGUACUUCUCGGCUGACGGGUCAGCAUCAAUUUCGCCCCUUGGAUAAUGGCGAGGGAAAUGUGACACCUUUGCGGUGUGUUAUAGUCUCUCGUCGCAUGCAAGGGUUGGGAUUGAGGAACUCAGCACGCGCCUUUGGGUGUCGGGGCUUUGCCCACGAUACGUGCUUAGGAUGUUGGCGUAAUGGCUUUAAACGA